UACGGAGGAUCCAAGCGUUAUCCGGAAUCAUUGGGUUUAAAGGGUCCGUAGGCGGGACAAUAAGUCAGUGGUGAAAGUUUUUGGCUUAACCAAAAAAUUGCCAUUGAUACUGUUGUUCUUGAAUUAUUGUGAAGUAACUAGAAUAUGUAGUGUAGCGGUGAAAUGCAUAGAUAUUACAUGGAAUACCAAUUGCGAAGGCAGGUUACUAACAAUAUAUUGACGCUGAUGGACGAAAGCGUGGGUAGCGAACAGG
rnacentral:rRNA from 1 species